rnacentral:rRNA from 1 species
AUUGAACGCUGGCGGCAGGCCUAACACAAGCAAGUCGAACGGUAGCACAGAGAGCUUGCUCUCGGGUGACGAGUGGCGGACGGGUGAGUAAUGUCUGGGAAACUGCCUGAUGGAGGGGGAUAACUACUGGAAACGGUAGCUAAUACCGCAUAACGUCGCAAGACCAAAGAGGGGGACCUUCGGGCCUCUUGCCAUCAGAUGUGCCCAGAUGGGAUUAGCUAGUAGGCGGGGUAAUGGCCCACCUAGGCGACGAUCCCUAGCUGGUCUGAGAGGAUGACCAGCCACACUGGAACUGAGACACGGUCCAGACUCCUACGGGAGGCAGCAGUGGGGAAUAUUGCACAAUGGGCGCAAGCCUGAUGCAGCCAUGCCGCGUGUGUGAAGAAGGCCUUCGGGUUGUAAAGCACUUUCAGCGGGGAGGAAGGCGGUACGGUUAAUAACCGUGCUGAUUGACGUUACCCGCAGAAGAAGCACCGGCUAACUCCGUGCCAGCAGCCGCAGUAA